CACAAUAAUAGCACACUAUGGCUAAAAGUAUGUGUACACCAUUUUUUAUUUCAGGUGAGGUUUUGUCCUCACCCAUCGCUAACGUGUGCAUAAAAUCAAGCACAUAGUCCUGAAAUCUACAUAGACAAACAUUGGCAUUACAAGAGGUUGUAAAGAAGAGCAGAGUGACAUUAAACAUGAAACUGAAAAAUGGAAGUGUAUAGGAGAAACAGUCCAGCUAGAAGUGGUAGGCCACACUUGGACCAGGACAUACAAUUCAUCUAUCAUUUGUUGCAUUAUUCACUACAGAGCUCUAAACUGCCUGUGGUAGCAACUCCAGCACAAGAACUGUGCCUCGGGAUCUUCAGGAAAUAGUUUUUCAAAUUCCAUGACUGUACACAAUCCUCACAUGCACAAUGCCAAGUGUUGGUUGGAAUAGUGGAAAUGGUGCCAGCUGUAAAAUUUGGUAAAGUGUUGAUGCCCUGGAGAUGUUUCACAGGGUUUGUGCUUAAGCCUCUUAAUUCCACUGAAGAGUCGACUUAAUGCUUAGAUAAUUGUGUGCUUAAAAUCUUAUGGUGGUCCCCUGGCAGGUACAGGGCACUACCAAAGGGGCCAGGUGACCUAGUCCCUACC